rnacentral:tRNA from 1 species
GGUUCUGUGAUGUAAUGGUUAGCACUCUGGACUCUGAAUCCAGUAAUCCGAGUUCAAAUCUCGGUGGAACCU